rnacentral:rRNA from 1 species
GAACUGUUUUGAAAGAUUUCUUCGGAAUGAAUUUGAUUUAGUUUAGUGGCGGACGGGUGAGUAACGCGUGAGUAACCUGCCUUCAAGAGGGGGAUAACAUUCUGAAAAGAAUGCUAAUACCGCAUGACAUAUCGGAACCACAUGGUUUUGAUAUCAAAGAUUUUAUCGCUUGAAGAUGGACUCGCGUCCGAUUAGUUAGUUGGUGAGGUAACGGCUCACCAAGACCGCGAUCGGUAGCCGGACUGAGAGGUUGAACGGCCACAUUGGGACUGAGACACGGCCCAGACUCCUACGGGAGGCAGCAGUGGGGGAUAUUGCGCAAUGGGGGCAACCCUGACGCAGCAACGCCGCGUGAAGGAUGAAGGUUUUCGGAUUGUAAACUUCUUUUAUUAAGGACGAAAAUUGACGGUACUUAAUGAAUAAGCUCCGGCUAACUACGUGCCAGCAGCCGCGGUAAUACGUAGGGAGCAAGCGUUGUCCGGAUUUACUGGGUGUAAAGGGUGCGUAGGCGGCUUUGCAAGUCAGAUGUGAAAUCUAUGGGCUCAACCCAUAAACUGCAUUUGAAACUGUAGAGCUUGAGUGAAGUAGAGGCAGGCGGAAUUCCCCGUGUAGCGGUGAAAUGCGUAGAGAUGGGGAGGAACACCAGUGGCGAAGGCGGCCU